UGGGGAAUAUUGGGCAAUGGGGGAAACCCUGACCCAGCAACGCCGCGUGAAGGAUGAAGUAUUUCGGUAUGUAAACUUCGAAAGAAUAGGAAGAAUAAAUGACGGUACUAUUUAUAAGGUCCGGCUAACUACGUGCCAGCAGCCGCGGUAAUACGUAGGGACCAAGCGUUGUUCGGAUUUACUGGGCGUAAAGGGCGCGUAGGCGGCAUGACAAGUCACUUGUGAAAUCUCUGGGCUUAACCCAGAACGGCCAAGUGAUACUGUCGCGCUAGAGUGCAGAAGGGGCAAUCGGAAUUCUUGGUGUAGCGGUGAAAUGCGUAGAUAUCAAGAGGAACACCUGAGGUGAAGACGGGUUGCUGGGCUGACACUGACGCUGAGGCGCGAAAGCCAGGGGAGCAAACGGGAUUAGAUACCCUUGUAGUCCCUGAGCGGGCUGGCAAGGCGCAU
rnacentral:rRNA from 1 species